CCCAUGGGGAUUGCGAUCUCCCCACGAGGCGGCAUGCCCAAGCAUCGCGUCCUGUCUUUCGAAGGGGACGCCGCAUG
rfam:Microvirga sp. V5/3M plasmid unnamed3, complete sequence.